rnacentral:rRNA from 1 species
GAUGAACGCUGGCGGCGUGCUUAACACAUGCAAGUCGAACGAUGAAGCCCAGCUUGCUGGGUGGAUUAGUGGCGAACGGGUGAGUAACACGUGAGUACACUGCCCUUGACUCUGGGAUAAGCGCUGGAAACGGCGUCUAAUACCGGAUACGAGCUUCCACCUCAUGGUGAGUUGCUGGAAAGAAUUUCGUUCAAGGAUGGACUCGCGGCCUAUCAGGUAGUUGGUGAGGUAACGGCUCACCAAGCCGACGACGGGUAGCCGGCCUGAGAGGGUGACCGGCCACAAUGGGACUAAGACACGGCCCAGACUCCUACUGGAGGCAACAGUGGAGAAUAUUGCACAGUGGGCGCAAGCCUGAUGCAGCAGCGCAGCGUGGGGGACGAAGGCCUUCGGGUCGUAAACCUCUGUUAGCAGGGAAGAGGCGAAAGUGACGGUACCUGCAGAAAAAGCACCGGCUAACUACGUG